rnacentral:rRNA from 1 species
GAUGAACGCUGGCGGCGUGCCUAAUACAUGCAAGUCGAGCGAACGGACGAGAAGCUUGCUUCUCUGAUGUUAGCGGCGGACGGGUGAGUAACACGUGGAUAACCUACCUAUAAGACUGGGAUAACUUCGGGAAACCGGAGCUAAUACCGGAUAAUAUUUUGAACCGCAUGGUUCAAAAGUGAAAGACGGUCUUGCUGUCACUUAUAGAUGGAUCCGCGCUGCAUUAGCUAGUUGGUAAGGUAACGGCUUACCAAGGCAACGAUGCAUAGCCGACCUGAGAGGGUGAUCGGCCACACUGGAACUGAGACACGGUCCAGACUCCUACGGGAGGCGGCAGUAGGGAAUCUUCCGCAAUGGGCGAAAGCCUGACGGAGCAACGCCGCGUGAGUGAUGAAGGUCUUCGGAUCGUAAAACUCUGUUAUUAGGGAAGAACAUAUGUGUAAGUAACUGUGCACAUCUUGACGGUACCCAAUCAGAAAGCCACGGCUAACUACGUG